rnacentral:sRNA from 1 species
CAGCAGAAGGUCCAAUAAGGAAGGCGA